GCUAAGUUCGGGGCAGCGGCCGGGGUAAUACGAAGGGGGGUAGCGUUGCUCGGAAGCACUGGGCGUAAAGCGCACGUAGGCGGACGCUUAAGUCGGUGGUGAAAUCCGGGAGCUCAACUCCAGAACUGCCUUCGAUACUGGGAGUCUCGAGUCCGGGAGAGGUGAGUGGAACUGCGAGUGUAGAGGUGAAAUUCGUAGAUAUUCGCAAGAACACCAGUGGCGAAGGCGGCUCACUGGCCCGGUACUGACGCUGAGGUGCGAAAGCGUGGGGAGCAAACAGGAUUAGAUACCCCGGUAGUC
rnacentral:rRNA from 1 species